AUUGAACGCUGGCGGCAUGCCUUACACAUGCAAGUCGAGCGCGAAAGGGGGCAACCCCGAGUAGAGCGGCGGACGGGUGAGUAACACAUCGGAACGUGCCCAGUAGUGGGGGACAACCUCGAGAAAUCGAGGCUAAUACCGCAUACGACCCACGGGUGAAAGCGGGGGACCGCAAGGCCUCGCGCUAUUGGAGCGGCCGAUGUCCGAUUAGCUAGUUGGCGGGGUAAGAGCCCACCAAGGCGACGAUCGGUAGCUGGUCUGAGAGGACGACCAGCCACACUGGGACUGAGACACGGCCCAGACUCCUACGGGAGGCAGCAGUGGGGAAUUUUGGACAAUGGGGGCAACCCUGAUCCAGCCAUGCCGCGUGCGGGAAGAAGGCCUUCGGUUGUAACCG
rnacentral:rRNA from 1 species